GAGUAAUGAUGAAAAAAUUGCAUUACAGAACUUUGUAAAUGAGAAGAUUUCUACAUUUGACCUGAGCUUG